rnacentral:lncRNA from 1 species
CACAAGAUCUGAUUCAUGUACAACAUGAUACGUAGGCAACCUACUUUUGGGUUCGAUCUAAUUAUUUUGUUUCUUUAUUUUUUUCUCAAUUUUCCUCUUUUCAAGAAAAGCAAAAGUCAUAAAGAAUGAUAAAAAGAAAGGAAAUAGAGAAAGAAGAAAAAAAAAAGAAAGAAUACUGAGAGAAGAAAAAAGAAAAGAGAAA